UCACAAGAGUCCCUCUUUCGGAUGAUGUA
rnacentral:sRNA from 1 species